rnacentral:rRNA from 1 species
UACGAAGGCCCCAAGCGUUAUCCGGAUUUAUUGGGCGUAAAGCGUUAAUAGGCGGCGAUGUAAGUCAUUGGUCAAAUCCUGCGGCUCAACCGUAGGGCAGCUGGUGAAACUGCAUUGCUUGAGGAUGGUAGAGGCAUACGGAACUACCGGUGUAGCGGUAAAAUGCGUUCAUAUCGGUAGGAACACCAAAGGCGAAAGCAGUAUGCUGGAACAUUCCUGACGCUAAAUAACGAAAGCGUGGGGAGCGAAUGGG